rnacentral:rRNA from 1 species
UGCUGGGGGGAUUAGUGGCGAACGGGUGAGUAACACGUGAGUAACCUGCCCUGGACUCUGGGAUAACCCCGAGAAAUCGGAGCUAAUACCGGAUAGGACCUUUCCCUGCAUGGGGUUUGGUGGAAAGUUUUUCGGUUUGGGAUGGACUCGCGGCCUAUCAGCUUGUUGGUGAGGUAAUGGCUCACCAAGGCGUCGACGGGUAGCCGGCCUGAGAGGGUGACCGGCCACACUGGGACUGAGACACGGCCCAGACUCCUACGGGAGGCAGCAGUGGGGAAUAUUGCACAAUGGGCGCAAGCCUGAUGCAGCAACGCCGCGUGCGGGAUGACGGCCUUCGGGUUGUAAACCGCUUUUAGUAAGGAAGAAGGGGAGCUUGCUCCUUGACGGUACUUGCAGAAAAAGGACCGGCUAACUACGUGCCAGCAGCCGCGGUAAUACGUAGGGUCCGAGCGUUGUCCGGAAUUAUUGGGCGUAAAGAGCUCGUAGGCGGUUUGUCGCGUCUGCUGUGAAAUCCCGAGGCUCAACCUCGGGCCUGCAGUGGGUACGGGCAGACUUGAGUGGUGUAGGGGAGACUGGAAUUCCUGGUGUAGCGGUGGAAUGCGCAGAUAUCAGGAGGAACACCGAUGGCGAAGGCAGGUCUCUGGGCACUUACUGACGCUGAGGAGCGAAAGCG